rnacentral:rRNA from 1 species
UACUGGGCGUAAAGGGAGCGUAGGCGGAUUUUUAAGUGAGAUGUGAAAUACUCGGGCUUAACCUGAGUGCUGCAUUUCAAACUGGAAGUCUAGAGUGCAGGAGAGGAGAAGGGAAUUCCUAGUGUAGCGGUGAAAUGCGUAGAGAUUAGGAAGAACACCAGUGGCGAAGGCGCUUCUCUGGACUGUAACUGACGCUGAGGCUCGAAAGCGUGGGGAGCAAACAGGAUUAGAUACCCUGGUAGUCCACGCCGUAAACGAUGGAUACUAGGUGUAGGGGUUGUCAUGACCUCUGUGCCGCAGCUAACGCAUUAAGUAUUCCGCCUGGGGAGUACGGUCGCAAGAUUAAAACUCAAAGGAAUUGACGG